AGUCGAGCGGACAGAUGGGAGCUUGCUCCCUGAUGUUAGCGGCGGACGGGUGAGUAACACGUGGGUAACCUGCCUGUAAGACUGGGAUAACUCCGGGAAACCGGGGCUAAUACCGGAUGCUUGUUUGAACCGCAGGGUUCAAACAUAAAAGGUGGCUUCGGCUACCACUUACAGAUGGACCCGCGGCGCAUUAGCUAGUUGGUGAGGUAACGGCUCACCAAGGCAACGAUGCGUAGCCGACCUGAGAGGGUGAUCGGCCACACUGGGACUGAGACACGGCCCAGACUCCUACGGGAGGCAGCAGUAGGGAAUCUUCCGCAAUGGACGAAAGUCUGACGGAGCAACGCCGCGUGAGUGAUGAAGGUUUUCGGAUCGUAAAGCUCUGUUGUUAGGGAAGAACAAGUACCGUUCGAAUAGGGCGGUACCUUGACGGUACCUAACCAGAAAGCCACGGCUAACUACGUGCCAGCAGCCGCGGUAAUACGUAGGUGGCAAGCGUUGUCCGGAAUUAUUGGGCGUAAAGGGCUCGCAGGCGGUUCCUUAAGUCUGAUGUGAAAGCCCCCGGCUCAACCGGGGAGGGUCAUUGGAAACUGGGGAACUUGAGUGCAGAAGAGGAGAGUGGAAUUCCACGUGUAGCGGUGAAAUGCGUAGAGAUGUGGAGGAACACCAGUGGCGAAGGCGACUCUCUGGUCUGUAACUGACGCUGAGGAGCGAAAGCGUGGGGAGCGAACAGGAUUAGAUACCCUGGUAGUCCACGCCGUAAAC
rnacentral:rRNA from 2 species